GUGUAAUGGGUGAUCCUGCCGGAGGAUGUUGCUAGUGAAACGCCAGCCAGCCAAGCUGGACGAACGAGUUCAGACGCGUGGCGAAUAACUCAGGACCGCGUGGCCAAGCUCCCGCUUCAGUCAGGGAUACCGUCGGAAAACUGAGGUUAACAGCUGAUACAAAACGCCAGCUGGAAUGCGGCGUUUCAGAAAGACAUCGCUGAAGGAUGCGGCUGCGGCCGAUUAGGUAGACGGUGGGGUAACGGCCCACCGUGCCAGUAAUCGGUACGGGUGAUGAGAGUCAGAGCCCGGAGACGGAAUCUGAGACAAGAUUCCGGGCCCUACGGGGCGCAGCAGGCGCGAAACCUUUACACUGCACGGAAGUGCGAUAGGGGAAUCCUAAGUGCGAGGGCAUAUUAGCCCUCGCUUUUCUCGACUGUAAGGUGGUCGACGAAUAAGAGCUGGGCAAGACCGGUGCCAGCCGCCGCGGUAAUACCGGCAGCUCAAGUGAUGUCCCAUAUUAUUGGGCCUAAAGCGUCCGUAGCUAAGGGC
rnacentral:rRNA from 1 species